rnacentral:rRNA from 1 species
UACGUAGGGUGCAAGCGUUGUCCGGAAUUAUUGGACGUAAAGGGCGCGUAGGCGGUUUGUUAAGUCGGUCGUGAAAGCCCGGGGCUCAACCCCGGAGGGUCGACCGAUACUGGCAGACUAGAGUACAGAAGAGGUAACUGGAAUUCCUGGUGUAGCGGUGAAAUGCGCAGAUAUCAGGAGGAACACCAAUGGCGAAGGCAGCUCGCUGGGACGGUACUGACGCUGAGGCGCGAAAGCGUGGGGAGCAAACAGG